GUAUUUGUGUGUGGAUGGUGUUCAGCACUAAGGGCAAGGGUGUUUGCGUGUGUAGAUGGCGUUUAGUACCAAGGACAGGAGUGUUUUUGU
rnacentral:pre_miRNA from 1 species